AACGAACGCUGGCGGCAUGCCUAACACAUGCAAGUCGAACGAGACCUUCGGGUCUAGUGGCGCACGGGUGCGUAACGCCUGGGAACCUGCCCUUAGGUUCGGAAUAACUCCCCGAAAGGGGUGCUAAUACCGGAUAAUGUCUUCGGACCAAAGAUUUAUCGCCUUUGGAUGGGCCCGCGUUGGAUUAGCUAGUUGGUAGGGUAAAAGCCUACCAAGGCGACGAUCCAUAGCUGGUCUGAGAGGAUGAUCAGCCACACUGGGACUGAGACACGGCCCAGACUCAUACGGGAGGCAGCAGUGGGGAAUAUUGGACAAGGGGCGAAAGCCUGAUCCAGCAAUGCCGCGUGAGUGAUGAAGGCCUUAGGGUUGUAAAGCUCUUUGACACGGGAUGAUAAUGACAGUACCGGGAGAAUAAGCUCCGGCUAACUCCGUG
rnacentral:rRNA from 1 species